CUGGCUCAGGAUGAACGCUAGCUACAGGCUAACACAUGCAAGUCGAGGGGCAGCAUUAAGUUAGCUUGCUAACUAGAUGGCGACCGGCGCACGGGUGAGUAACGCGUAUCCAACCUUCCCCCUUACUCAGGGAUAGCCCGGUGAAAGCCGGAUUAACACCUGAUAGUUUCACUAGAUGGCAUCUGACGGUGAAUAAAGCUUUGCGGUAAGGGAUGGGGAUGCGUCUGAUUAGCUUGUUGGCGGGGUAACGGCCCACCAAGGCAACGAUCAGUAGGGGUUCUGAGAGGAAGGUCCCCCGCAUUGGAACUGAGACACGGUCCAAACUCCUACGGGAGGCAGCAGUGAGGAAUAUUGGUCAAUGGGCGAGAGCCUGAACCAGCCAAGUAAGCGUGCAGGAAGACGGCCCUAUGGGUUGUAAACUGCUUUUGUACGGGAAUAAAGUGACCUACGUGUAGGUUUUUGCAUGUACCGUAAGAAUAAGGACCGGCUAAUUCCGUGCCAGCCGCAGC
rnacentral:rRNA from 1 species